UCAGAAAUGUAAAAUCCUAUGCAAAGAUUGGAAGCUUACUUCCAGAUAAUACUGAUACAUGCUGCUCUACAUAAGCAUUCAAAUAUCAUCAGUGUUUUUUUUGGAGGGAUUAGAUAUUGUUCUAAUUUCUUCCCUAAGCUUGCCUUGGUUUCUAUGCUAAGACAAAGCAAUAAGAAGAACAAAAGUCAGCAUUUCAGUUAAGAGAUUUGUCUUCUUAUUGGUGCACAUGAGUUAAAGCUAUACAGACAGUAACAAUAUGACAGAAAAAGAGAAAAAAGGUGAAGAACAGAGCAAUGCACUGCAGCGCAGCUGAGAGUUCUCUGUAGCCUUAACGAGGUUCAUUAGGCUCCUAAUUUGAGCCAGGGCUGAGAUUCUGACUAAAUCUGACUUCUCAGUGUUGCUGUGGACCAGCACUGCUUGCUCUGCCUAAUUAUCCAGGUUUUUCUGUUUGGUCCACUGAGCUGAGACUGGAUGUGUGCUGUUGCAGGGACGUUGCGGAUCUGCAUCAACACCACUAAAGACAUUACAGAGCUCGAUGAAAGCAUUUUGCAUUGCUGCUUGUAAUGAAGGAGGAAAGGAGCUUUCUCCACCUUCUGACCCCCCUCCCUCAAGCACCAAUGCAAAGGAGGAUUUAUUGUUUCAUGAGCAGCAUGAUCAUGCUUUACAGGAAGGGGUCUUUCUGAAGGUUACUACAAUUAGCAGUGGCAACAGGCUCCAACAUCAUCAUUAGCAACAGUUCCUGACUUGUUAUGACUCUGAAAUGGCGCAGGCAUCAUUAAUGGCACACUGAAAACUGAAAACUGGUCUGGAUGAUGUGUUUUUGCGUGACCUAAUUUAGGUAUUUCUGCUCUGGCAGAAGGAUUGGACUAAAUGAUCUUUAGAGGCUCCUUUCAAUCUCUGACAUUCUGUGAUUCUUGACAAUAUGGAAGCACCUGAGCCAUGACUGCACAUGCCGGAAUGCAAUGAGCCACAUGCCACAGCACCUCAGAACUCUGCCGCUGCUUCUACUCUCACUGAAGAUGAGUACUAUCCUCACCUGUAUUUCAGCACUGGUAACACUAUUACUGCCUUUGGCUUUGCUUUUCAGGACGUCUUUUGUGUGUACACGUCCCUGUACUAAGUCACUGUACAUUCUUCAUGGAGGAAUUCAGUUUCACCACUUUGCAUCAGACACUCUUCCAUGUCAGAAGCUAUUUUGUUGGACUGCCAUCUGUUUCAUGGCAACAAGAUGUAAUGGAAUAUUGUUGAGUAAGGUUCAGCCUCUACUGCCAUACCACCAUCAUCUGCCUCGUAUGUUGUGGGCCAACAUCAUAAAACAGGAAGCAUUACUUUCAGAGCAUCCUUUGUAUAAAAUAUAAUAUAGUUAACGUACAUAAGUACCCAAACUUAUUUUAACUUUUAAUAUUUAUAUUAAAACAAUAACAGCAACAAAAGAGCAACAAAUCCAUAAAACUACAGGGAUAUUUGACCUUGUUUUUCUGAAAUCGUUGCAUCAGACUGGUUUGAAGGUAGAGGGCACAAUUCUUAGUCAGGCAUCAAGGUGUUCAACAGAGACUGUCAGAUUGACAGUAAUUGUUCCCAAAUGUAUGUAGUGCCGAAAAGUGAUGACAUGAACAAGGCAUGGUUGUGAAGCAAGGGAUACUUUUCUUUGGGAAGAGGGGGCUUAUAAAAGAACAGUAGAGAG